rnacentral:rRNA from 1 species
GAGUGAAAGGCUAAUCAAACUCAGAGAUAUCUGGUUCUCCCCGAAAUAUAUUUAGGUAUAGCCUCGGAUGUUCAAUAGCGGUUGUAGAGCACUGUUUGGUCUAGGGGGCCUACCAGCUUACCGAAAUCAGGCAAACUCCGAAUGCCGUUAUUCCAGAGUCCGGGAGUCAGACUGCGGGGGAUAAGCUUCGUGGUCAAAAGGGAACAGCCCAGACUGUCGGCUAAGGCCCCUAAUUCCAUGCUAAGUGGGAAACGAUGUCCGAUUGCAGAGACAACCAGGAUGUUGGCUUAGAAGCAGCCACCAUUCAAAGAGUGCGUAACAGCUCACUGGUCAAGUGGUCGGGCGCGGACAAUGUAACGGGGCUCAAGCAUGGAGCCGAAGCCACAGACUUCACGCAAGUGGAGUGGUAGGGGAGCGUUCCCACGCCGGCGAAGCGGCGGCGUAAGCCAGCCGUGGAGGCUUGGGAAGUGAGAAUGCUGGCAUGAGUAACGAAAGACAUGUGAGAAACAUGUCCGCCGAAUGCCUAAGGGUUCCUGAGUAAAGCUAAUCUGCUCAGGGUUAGUCGGGACCUAAGCCGAGGCCGACAGGCGUAGGCGAUGGACAACAGGUUGAUAUUCCUGUACCACGUCCCCACCGCUAUCACCAAUGGCGGGACGGGGUAGGUGAAGCCAACCCAGGCGAUGGUAGACCUGGGCUAACCGCGUAGGGCGAGCCAUAGGGAAAUCCGUGGCUCACAUAGCCUGAGACGGGAAUGCGAGCGCGUUCAAGCGCGAAGUGGCUGCAACCAUGCCUCCUAGAAAAGCGUCUAGGGAGGUGGGACGUGCCCGUACCAAAACCGACACAGGUAGGCAGGUAGAGAAUACCAAGGCGAUCGGAAGAACCCUCGAAAAGGAACUCGGCAAAAUGGCCCCGUAACUUCGGGAGAAGGGGCGCCAUGGUAGGGUGAUAAUCCCUCGCGGAUUAAAGCCCGAGAUGGCCGCAGUGAAACGGCCCAACCGACUGUUUACCAAAAACACAGGUCUCUGCGAAGUCGAAAGACGACGUAUAGGGGCUGACGCCUGCCCGGUGCCGGAAGGUCACGAGGAGAGGUUAGCCGUAAGGCGAAGCUUCGAAUCCAAGCCCCGGUAAACGGCGGCGGUAACUAUAACCGUCCUAAGGUAGCGAAAUUCCUUGUCGGGUAAUUGAAUUGCCCGAGUCAGUGGUGACACUGGCGGACAAACCGGCUAAUAACGGGGAAGCCCUCCUCGUAUGCGACGCUUUCAAGGACGUCGUGGUAGCGAAAGGGUAAUCCCGUGGGAAGUCGCUUCUUCCUUGUGGAGAGGUUGACCCCGUAACGACUGAUCUGUGACGUAGUUCUGUCACGGUGAGAUCGCAUCUCCAUCCGGCGCCUGCCGGAAAAUCUAUGAGUGCGAUCAGACGCCGGCCCUUGGCACUACAGUCGGGAGUUCCUCUCGGUCUACAUCUCCGGGUACGUCGACGGAGAAGGCUGCUUCACGGUCUCAAUCGCGCCACGGGCGACGCUCGCGGUGGGUUGGGAGGUGAGGCCGGGCUUCUCGGUCAGCCAGAACGGAGACCGGGCCGAGGUGCUUCAUGCGAUCAAGGCGUACUUCGGGUGCGGGAGCAUCCGGCCCGACCGAAGCGACAAGACCCUCAAGUGGGAGACACGACGGCUCGAGGACAUCCUCGACCGCGUCGUCCCGCACUUCGAGCGGUGCCCGCUUCUGUCGGGAAAGCGGUACGACUUCGAUCGGUUCGCUUCCGUGUGCCAUCUCAUGGCAGACGGAGCGCACCUACGCCGC